AAUCUUUUUGUCAAAAGUUGUCCGAUGAAGGGCUCUCCGAUGCUUAAGUCAGUCGAAAAAAGAACACAGUCGAAAGCCAAAAACGAGAGCAAAAGCUUAUAAUAAGGAAGCUUACCAGAGCCUCCAUUGUUUAUCGAUAUUUAUAGGGUAGGUGAUGUCGUUAUUGUGUAAUUCGCAUCCCUAAAUAUUCGGGAGGAAAGAGAUGAGACGGUCUACCCGUCUUUACACAUACGAGAAAUCACUCACUGACGGACAAGAGGUGUCGACAACGUGAGCUUUACUGCCGGGCUUUCGGCGGGUCCAC
rnacentral:lncRNA from 1 species